rnacentral:snRNA from 1 species
AGCCACGCAGUGAGCACAAAGCGAACUAUUCUUUCGCCUUUUACUAAAGAAUACCGUGUACUCGCUGCUUUUAAGUGGCAUACGCCUAUUUUUGGAGAGUCCAAAGGGCUC